CACGUAGGGUGCGAGCGUUGUCCGGAAUUAUUGGGCGUAAAGAGCUCGUAGGCGGUGUGUCGCGUCGGCCGUGAAAACCUGCAGCUUAACUGUGGGCUUGCGGUCGAUACGGGCAUCACUGGAGUUCGGCAGGGGAGACUGGAAUUCCUGGUGUAGCGGUGAAAUGCGCAGAUAUCAGGAGGAACACCGGUGGCGAAGGCGGCCUGCUGGGCUGUUGCUGACGCUGAGGCGCGACAGCGUGGGGAGCAAACAGG
rnacentral:rRNA from 1 species